rnacentral:rRNA from 1 species
GACGAACGCUGGCGGCGUGCUUAACACAUGCAAGUCGAACGGAAAGGCCCUGCUUUUGUGGGGUGCUCGAGUGGCGAACGGGUGAGUAACACGUGAGUAACCUGCCCUUGACUUUGGGAUAACUUCAGGAAACUGGGGCUAAUACCGGAUAGGAGCUCCUGCUGCAUGGUGGGGGUUGGAAAGUUUCGGCGGUUGGGGAUGGACUCGCGGCUUAUCAGCUUGUUGGUGGGGUAGUGGCUUACCAAGGCUUUGACGGGUAGCCGGCCUGAGAGGGUGACCGGCCGCAUUGGGACUGAGAUACGGCCCAGACUCCUACGGGAGGCAGCAGUGGGGAAUAUGGCACAAUGGGCGGAAGCCUGAUGCAGCAACGCCGCGUGCGGGAUGACGGCCUUCGGGUUGUAAACCGCUUUCGCCUGUGACGAAGCGUGAGUGACGGUAAUGGGUAAAGAAGCACCGGCUAACUACGUG